rnacentral:rRNA from 1 species
UGAGGAAUAUUGGUCAAUGGUCGCAAGACUGAACCAGCCAUGCCGCGUGCAGGAAGACGGUCCUAUGGAUUGUAAACUGCUUUUAUACAGGAAGAAACCCUCCCACGUGUGGGAGCUUGACGGUACUGUAGGAAUAAGGAUCGGCUAACUCCGUGCCAGCAGCCGCGGUAAUACGGAGGAUCCAAGCGUUAUCCGGAAUCAUUGGGUUUAAAAGGGGUCCGUAGGCGGUCUUAUAAGUCAGUGGUGAAAGCCCAUCGCUCAACGAUGGAACUGCCAUUGAUACUGUAAGACUUGAAUGCUUAGGAAGUAACUAGAAUAUGUAGUGUAGCGGUGAAAUGCUUAGAUAUUACAUGGAAUACCAAUUGCGAAGGCAGGUUACUACUAAGUGAUUGACGCUGAUGGACGAAAGCGUGGAGAGCGAACAGGAUUAGAUACCCUGGUAGUCCACGCCGUAAACGAUGGAUACUAGCUGUUCGGCGCAAGUUGAGUGGCUAAGCGAAAGUGAUAAGUAUCCCACCUGGGGAGUACGCACGCAAGUGUGAAACUCAAAGGAAUUGACGGGGUCAUAGCUGUUUCCUG